UGGCCCCCUCCUCCAGGCUUCAAUUCCCUUUUCCCCUCUUCCCCACCUCCCUUGCUAGGUUUCCUUCCACCACUACGUUCUGCCCUUCAGCUCCCCUAGUCUGCUCAGUAACAGCAAGGCUUGUUGCUGACACACCUCAGUCUCUUGACCUGCUGCGAGCUCAGCCCAGCCUUUCCUUGAAAUUCCAACCUUUCUCUCUGAAACUUCCUGGUUCCAAGGAGAGGUUCUGCCAGAAUUUCUGGUCCCAAAGAUCGAUUUUCAAGGGGAGGUUCUGUCAAAUUUUCCUCUUGUGAACGUAGAUUUCCCAGGGGAGGUUCUGCCGAAAUUUUCUGCACUGACCACUCACUUUUCCAAGGGGAGGUUCUGCCAAAAUUUUCUGAGCUGACCAUCAAUUUUCAAGGGGAGGUUCUGACAAAAUUUUCCUCUCUCACCAUCAGUUCUCCAAGGGGAAGUUCUGCCAAAAAAAAAUUUUGAGCAAGAACCUGCCCUUUCUUGACGCGCACAUACAUAUAUAUACACACAAACAAAUUCUAAUUUUAACUGAAGAAGAGUACUUUGAUCCUUGUUCUUGAUGAUAGACUUGCAAAGAAGCCGCGCAGCAUCUGAUUAGAUGUUGUUGCUCGUCCUGUCCGAGCUCCCCCUUUCUGGUUUUAUGGUCGGCUCCACCAUCACCCGCCUUGUGCAGUCCUUCUCCGUCGUCUUCCUCUACUGGUUCUAUGUCUUCUCAGUAGCAUCCCUGUAGUUAGUUGUAAUUUUGCAACUAACUAAGUUUUCUCUAUAGGAUAUAAUUAAGAUAGUAACAAAGGGGUACGUAUACGUGACACAUAAGAGCUGAAAUAGUUGAGAGUACACAAGAGGUGGUGAGACGUGACCAUGUCAAGUGGGACCUUGUCUGGGUCGAGUUUAGGGACCCGGAGCUCCAAGUCGGAGGAUGACCUGGACCUCCAGGCCCAGAUGGAGAGGAGGAGGAAGCGCAGGAAGGAGUCCAACCGGGAGUCGGCUCGGAGGUCUAGGCUGCGAAAGCAGCAGCAUCUUGACGACCUCACCUCACAGGCUUGCACUCAUGUGCAGGUGAAAAAGCAAAACAGAUGUGAACAAAGGCCACUUGAAAUAUCUGGCCAAACAAGCUCAAUAAUUGUGCUGCCUUUCCCCAAAGGCCCCACAAAAUCAUCUGUUGCUUGCUAGCCAAUUCACAGAAUAAAGCAACAAAUAAAUAAAUCUAAGAUCAUGAUUUUCUCUAACCAUAUUUCGAUUUUUUCAUCAAAAUUGUACCUGCUUAAAAAAGAGGAAAAGGUCAAAUUCAUAUCGCUAAGAGGUAUGGUAUUGUGUGGUAAAAUAGGUAAAACACCUGAAGGACCAGAACAAACAGCUCAGCUUGGCACUAAGCAUAACCAGCCAAAACCUUGUGGCAGUGCAAGCACAAAACUCUGUUCUGCAGACCCAGAAGAUGGAGCUGGACAGCAGGCUGAGUGCCCUGACUGAGAUCCUCUGUUACAUGAACACCAUCACUUGCACCAAUGCAAGUGCUCCUGCAAAUCCAGCCAUGGCGAACAACAUCACAUCCAGCAGCUCCUAUGAUCUUCUUGGUGCCAGCUGCACAUGGAACCAGCAGCCAAUAGACAUGUACCAGUGCUUCUAGCUCUACAAGAGAGAAGUGGUUGUUACAUGACAUAGUGGUAGGGCCAGAAGGAAAGGAGGCAGACAGGCAUCAAGCUCUUUUCAAUCAUGUAGGGUCUUUGUGUCACUAUUGAUGUAUGCUUGAUGCCUCUCUCUUAAUUGUGUAUUUUGGAGGAGAUAGAGAUGUUUUGGUUUUCUUGUUGCUGGUGGUAGAGCCUAAAGGAUGGGGAAAUAGCGAAGUUGUGCUUGGCAUUGUGUGAGGUGGAGGGUGUUGUACUCCGGUAGUUGAGGGUAGAGGGGAAAUAAUAUUGGGCCAGACUGUGAAAGAGAAAGGCAGGGGAUUUUGUACUGGCUCAAACUAAUGCAUAAAUGCGUAAUGAUGAUGAUGAUGUUUAUUAAGAUGUCGAUUUGAUGGCUCC